rnacentral:lncRNA from 1 species
AGCAGAGAACAAAGCAAUGGCAAAUCAGCUUCAUAUCAUAAUUAUUGGAACCUAGAUAUUAUAAUAUUGAAUAAUGAAUACUAGUAUAACCUCAUUGCUACCUCUACUUUAAUAAUAGGGAGGUAUGUCAAAAUAUCACAGAGUAAAAUAAGCAUCUUAUUCUUAAUAAUAGGAUUCUCGAGUUUGCAUCACAUUAAAUAAUCGCCAAAGUCUACCAUUGGCGUUAAAGCCAUCAAUACAUAAGAUUCUUUUGCUUAACUUCAUCACAUGCAUAUAGCUUAUAUUGCAUGAUAUUUCAGACAUCAUUUUCCGUUAAUAUAGGAUUUUAACACGUUUUAUACUCUCCCAUAUCACCAAAAUUAA